UGGUCGUCACCAAGGCUUUUAGAAUGCAGCUUCGGAUCUGCUUUGGACAAGACCACAAAAAAAUUUCCCAAGAGGUUUUUGCUCUUUUCUUGCGACCUUGCUAGCAUCCCACCAACUGGGGGCACCA
ensembl:snoRNA